CCUACGGGAGGCAGCAGUGGGGAAUCUUAGACAAUGGGGGCAACCCUGAUCUAGCCAUGCCGCGUGAGUGAUGAAGGCCUUAGGGUCGUAAAGCUCUUUCGCCUGUGAUGAUAAUGACAGUAGCAGGUAAAGAAACCCCGGCUAACUCCGUGCCAGCAGCCGCGGUAAUACGGAGGGGGUUAGCGUUGUUCGGAAUUACUGGGCGUAAAGCGCGCGUAGGCGGAUUAGAAAGUUGGGGGUGAAAUCCCGGGGCUCAACCCCGGAACUGCCUCCAAAACUGCUAGUCUAGAGUUCGAGAGAGGUGAGUGGAAUUCCGAGUGUAGAGGUGAAAUUCGUAGAUAUUCGGAGGAACACCAGUGGCGAAGGCGGCUCACUGGCUCGAUACUGACGCUGAGGUGCGAAAGUGUGGGGAACAAACAGGAUUAGAUACCCUGGUAGUCCACACCGUAAACGAUGAAUGCCAGUCGUCGGAUAGUAUACUAUUCGGUGACACACCUAACGGAUUAAGCACUCCGCCUGGGGAGUACGGUCGCAAGAUUAAAACUCAAAGGAAUUGACGG
rnacentral:rRNA from 1 species